UACGAACUGUGCGAACGUUAUUCGGAAUCACUGGGCUUACAGGGUGCGUAGGCGGCCAUUUAAGUAGGGUGUGAAAUGCCCCGGCCCAACCGGGGAAUGGCGCUCUAAACUGAAUGGCUUGAGUGAGCUAGGGGUUUGCGGAACUUCCGGUGGAGCGGUGAAAUGUGUUGAUAUCGGAAGGAACGCCGUUGGCGAAAGCGGCAAACUGGGGCUUAACUGACGCUGAGGCACGAAAGCCAGGGGAGCGAACGGG
rnacentral:rRNA from 1 species